rnacentral:rRNA from 1 species
GACGAACGCUGGCGGCGUGCUUAACACAUGCAAGUCGAACGGAAAGGCCCUGCUUUUGUGGGGUGCUCGAGUGGCGAACGGGUGAGUAACACGUGAGUAACCUGCCCUUGCCUUUGGGAUAACUUCAGGAAACUGGGGCUCAUACCGGAUAGGAGCUCCUGCUGCAUGGUGGGGGUUGGAAAGUUUCGGCGGUUGGGGAUGGACUCGCGGCUUAUCAGCUUGUUGGUGUGGUAGUGGCUUACCAAGGCUUUGACGGGUAGCCGGCCUGAGCGGGUGACCGGCCACAUUGGGACUGAGAUACGGCCCAGACUCCUACGGGAGGCAGCAGUGGAGAAUAUUGCACAAUGGGCGGAAGCCUGAUGCAGCAACGCCGCGUGCGGGAUGACGGCCUUCGGGUUGUAAUCCGCUUUCGCCUGUGACGAAGCGUGAGUGACGGUAAUGGGUAAAGAAGCACCGGCUAACUACGUG